rnacentral:rRNA from 1 species
CCUACGGGUGGCAGCAGUGAGGAAUAUUGGUCAAUGGCCGUAAGGCUGAACCAGCCAUGUAGCGUGCGGGAAGACUGCCCUAUGGGUUGUAAACCUCUUUUAUGCGGGGAUAAACGUGUCCACGCGUGUAUGUUUGCAGGUACCGCAUGAAUAAGGACCGGCUAAUUCCGUGCCAGCAGCCGCGGUAAUACGGAGGGUCCGGGCGUUAUCCGGAUUUAUUGGGUUUAAAGGGAGCGUAGGUGGAUUGUUAAGUCAGUUGUGAAAGUUUGCGGCUCAACGGUAAAAUUGCAGUUGAUACUGGCAGUCUUGAGUACAGUAGCGGUGGGCGGAAUUCGUGGUGUAGCGGUGAAAUGCUUAGAUAUCACGAAGAACUCCGAUUGCGAAGGCAGCUCACUGGACUGCAACUGACACUGAGGCUCGAAAGUGUGGGUAUCAAACAGGAUUAGAUACCCGAGUAGUC